GCUUUAAGCUUCCCAGCUGGCUCUCCUGCUUUCUGUGGGAUAGCUCCAGGUGUGUCCUAAAGAACCUUACUCCUUCCCACCAGCCCCAACCAGGGCUGCCUUCUGCUGCUCUGCUGCCUGAUUCCCAACCAGUGACAACUUCCCCUGUCUGGAGAAAACUUCUCAACAACUUCCCAGUUGCUGGAGAAAACCCAGGAACUGCCUCCAGGACCAUUGGCCACCUCCAGCUAAACCUGACAGAGAGAUGAGGUUUCAUGGAAGAAACCAACUCACAUGUGUUGGUUUCUCACAUGAUGGAAAAGGUGCACAAUCAGAGAAGUGAGGUGGCAUUAAUCUGCUCAGCAAGGGAAAGGCUCCCAGCUUCCACUUCUAUUCAACUUCAAAGGGUCCCCACAGGAGAAGAGCUCUUGCAUUCAGCACCCCCUGGAUGAAUCCAGCACCCUGCCCUGCUCCCCUUGAGCCUCCUGCUGCUCUUGGGGCUGGUUUCCUGCUAUUUGAGGACCUUGCCUGAAGAUCUGGUGUCUGUUGCUGCCCUACAGUAACAGGAUGAGAAUUAACUUGAGCAGCCCUCUUCCUGAGCCACCCCCACCUUCCACCUCCCUUUGAGUGAGACAGCCACAAUAUCUCCAGUGGAGCAUUUGAAGGAUUCUUCCUUGUGAGGCUUUCUAUUUGGAGUGCUGGCACAACAAGUUGCAUUCGAAUCCCAUCAGCCCAGCACAACUGCAAACUGCAUUUCACACAUAGAGAGAUGAUUCUUUCA